CAUACCCAAGGCCCUUCUGCGUGAGGGCCAACACUCUACCCACUGAGCACACCAGGCCAGGGUGGAGUGGAUCAUUUUUAACAUCCUCCUCAACAAAGAUAUUUUCAGUAAUAAUCAUGAAAUACAGCUAGUAAUAGUAAUAGCAGAAAAGAAGCACAGUGAAAAAGGUUUAUUAUUGAGCUUUGUACAUGUAUUCAUGCUAAUAAAAUGUAAUUUUAAAAGCAAGAUGCAAACGAAAAUACCUACUGCAGUAUAAUAAAAGAAAAAAGGCAUCCUGUUCUUGGUGGUCAGGAUCAAGCCAUUCAAACAUGGCCCUUUGGAUUUCUCCUAUCUCGUAAGGAGUUGGUAGCACUACAGAGCUGGGCACACAGAGUGGGCGUGAAUGAUUCCCAACUGUUGAGGACGUCCUGGGAGCAGGCUGUGUGGCUGAGUCUGCGUACUGUGUGACUGAGCAAGCGGGAGCUCUGCAAUUAGCUUUCAUGUAGAAUGCGAGCUCUAACGGUAAGUAAUAAAAAUGUGCUAAUUGGAAGCUAGGUACAUAUGAUUAAAACACAGCAGCAGUGUGGCAGUUGUUUAGAACUUAGGCCAACAAAGGAUUUUUUCAGGAAGGGGCUCUUUAUC